AACGAACGCUGGCGGCAUGCCUAACACAUGCAAGUCGAACGGGACCGCCGUGUCUAGUUGCGCACGGGGGCGUAACGCGGGGGAAGCUGCCCUUAGGUACCGAAUACUUCCCUUUAGGGGGUGCUAAUGCAGGAUAAUGUAUUCCGACCAAAGAUUUAUCGCCAUGGGAUGGGCGCGCGUUGGUUUAGCUAGUGGGUAGGGUAAAAGCCUACCAAGGGGAGGAUCCUUAGCUGGUCGGGGACGAUGCUCAGCCACACUGGGCCUGCGGCACGGCCCCGAAUCCUACGCGAGGGAGGAGUGGGGAAUAUUGGACAAUGGGGCCAAGCCUGAUACAGCCAUGCCGGGGGAGUGAUGAAGGCGUUAGGGUUGUGCAGCUGUUUUACCCGGGAUGUUAAUGACAGUACCGGGAGAAUAAGCACCGGCUAACUACGUG
rnacentral:rRNA from 1 species